AUAAAAUAGACCAUUUCAGUAGCCGCAGUAAUAGAAUAAACCAAAUAAUACAUAUAAAACUGUAUUUAAAAUACAUCAAACAAAACCUUUCAACUGGUAUUCUUUUGAAACCACUAAUUUUAGAUUCAAAGAAGGAACAAUGGGAUUUGCACCAACAGUAUCAACUCUGUUACUACUUAUAGUAGCAUCAAGACCUGC